rnacentral:lncRNA from 1 species
GUGAAAUUACUGUAAUCACAGUUUGAGAGAAAGACCCUCGAAAGCAGUAGUCCUCCUCAGCUUUUUUAAGUACCUCCAUAAGGUAGGGUACCAACAGCUACUUAAAUUAUUUAUAAAACUCUGGAGGGAAGCCAUCCUCCCCAGGAGAUUUAUUAGAAGGUAAAGAUGUAAUGGCCUCCAACAAUUCAGGGACUGAGAACUGUUCACUCAGGCGCCCUCUGACAAACAUGGGCGGUUGAGAGAGGAGAGAAAGGAGUGAUAGAUCAUCGCUUGAUUGGACCUGAGCCCUAGGACCAUGCCUCAGGACUACCUGGUAUGAUGACUCCUUGCUGUCCCCAGUCCACCUGGCCGUGCUGCUGCUCCAGUUUCAACUAUUCUGCCUGCGGCUAUGGAACCCUGACCUGUUCACCGGACGUGCUUGUUGCACCCUCGACAACUACUAUGAUUAUUAUUAUUUGACCAUGCUGGUCAUUUAUGAACAUUUUAACAUUUUAACAUUUUGACCAUGUUCUGUUAUAAUAUCCACCCUGCACAGCCAGAAGAGGACUGGCCACCCCUCAUAGCCUGGUUCCUCUCUAGGUUUCUUCCUAGGUUUUUGGCCUUUCUAGGGAGUUUUUCCUAGGGAGUUUUUCCUAGCCACCGUGCUUCUUUCACAUGCUUUGCUUGCUGUUUGGGGUUUUAGGCUGGGUUUCUGUACAGCACUUUGAGAAUAUCAGCUGAUGUACGAAGGGCUAUAUAAAUACAUUUGAUUUGAUUUGAUUUGAUUUGAUAUGGCUGAGUACACCUUUAAUUCCAAGCUCAGAAAGGUCCAACAAGGGUUGUUCUAAUAUAAAAAAAGAGAAUUGUCCUCCUAGCCCUCUGACAUAACUACACAGUAACAUGCUGCAUCAAGUGGCAGUGUAAUAAUCAAUGUUGUAUAUCUUUACACAACUAUGGAAUUUGGUGUACACAAUACUUACAGUAUAAAGCGAAAAUCAUCCCGUCUUUAAUGUCAUCAAUUACUGUAUAUGAAAUUGGUAUGAAAAUGUACAUCACCA